GUUCCGCUACGUUUACGAGUAGCCACUCCCGACAACCGUAAUAAUUAACAUCGAAUAACAAAAAGUUACCUUACGAUCGAGGUAGGAAAAUGAAAACAGAAUUAGUGCUAGCUAACCAACGACUUAAGAAGGUCAAAUACAGACAAAUAUGUGUUGGAGAAAAAACGGCAGAUGUCAUACAUAAAAGAAUAGGAGAUAUUCAAUAAAUCUAUUUUGGAAUUGCAAUUACAAAGCAAGCUAAAUAUAUCUGUAAAGAUAUAAUAUACCUAAAAUGAACGUCUGCCGUACCUAGAGAAUUAUAAAAUAGAACCAAGCUUUUAACAUCCCACAAAGACAACUUAUAUGGAAAAUGCACUAAGAAUAACAUCCCUAUUAAUUAUCCGGAAAGUAAAUCUUCCCCAAGAUGUGUAUACUCAUAGAGCCGCUUACCGUCUGAUAAACCGGCAAGUCCAUAAGCCAACACUUGGAAUUAGAGCUGAAGGAAGUUCAUCUAGAUUGGAACAAAGAUAAGUGUACUUAAUUAAUGUUCUCAUUUAUAGACCGAAUUGUGUUCCGCAAUAUAUUAUAUAUUUAUU
rnacentral:lncRNA from 1 species